ACUUGAUUAAAUCAAUGAUUUAAUGUUUUGAAAACAUUAUUUAGGUUAAAUGACCUUUGAUUUUGUU
rnacentral:tRNA from 1 species